rnacentral:rRNA from 1 species
AUUGAACGCUGGCGGCAGGCCUAACACAUGCAAGUCGAAUGGUAACAGGAAACAGCUUGCUGUUUCGCUGACGAGUGGCGGACGGGUGAGUAAUGUCUGGGAAACUGCCUGAUGGAGGGGGAUAACUACUGGAAACGGUAGCUAAUACCGCAUAACGUCGCAAGACCAAAGAGGGGGACCUUCGGGCCUCUUGCCAUCAGAUGUGCCCAGACGGGAUUAGCUAGUAGGUGGGGUAACGGCUCACCUAGGCGACGAUCCCUAGCUGGUCUGAGAGGAUGACCAGCCACACUGGAACUGAGACACGGUCCAGACUCCUACGGGAGGCAGCAGUGGGGAAUAUUGCACAAUGGGCGCAAGCCUGAUGCAGCCAUGCCGCGUGUAUGAAGAAGGCCUUCGGGUUGUAAAGUACUUUCAGCGGGGAGGAAGGGAGUAAAGUUAAUACCUUUGCUCAUUGACGUUACCCGCAGAAGAAGCACCGGCUAACUCCGUG